rnacentral:tRNA from 1 species
GGCUCUGUGGUGCAAUGGAUAGCGCAUUGGACUUAUAAUUCAAAGGUUGUGGGUUCGAGUCCCACCAGAGUCG